rnacentral:rRNA from 1 species
CCCGAACCUACAUGAAGCUGGAAUCGCUAGUAAUCGCGAAUCAGAAUGUCGCGGUGAAUACGUUCCCGGGUCUUGUACACACCGCCCGUCACACCAUGGGAGUCGGAAAUGCCCGAAGUCAGUGACCCAACCGCAAGGAGGGAGCUGCCGAAGGUGGAGCCGGUAACUGGGGUGAAGUCGUAACAAGGUAAC